rnacentral:lncRNA from 10 species
CACCAAACAGGCUUUGUGUGAGCAAUAAAGCUGUUUAUUUCACCUGGGUGCAGGUGGGCUGAGUCCGAAAAGAGUCAGCGAAGGGAGAUAGGGGUGGGGCUGUUUUAUAGUAUUUGGGAAGGUAAUGGAAAAUUACAGUCAAAGGGCGGGCAGGAGUGGGGGGUCGCAAGGUGCUCAGUGGGGGUGCUUCUGAGCCAGGAGAAGGAAAUUUGCAGGGUUAAUCACUCAGUUAAGGUGGGGCAGGAACAAAUCACAAUGGUGGAAUGUCAUCAGUUAAGGCGGGGCAGGGCCUUUUCACUUCUUUUGUGAUUCUUCAGUUACUUCAGGCCAUCUGGGUGUAUAUGUGCAAGGCACAGGGGAUGCGAUGGCUUGGCUUGGGCUCAGAGGCCUGACAGUGGCACACGCCUGUAAUCCCAGCUACUUGGGAGCCUGAGGCAGGAGAAUCACUUGAACCCAGGAGGUGCAGGGUGCAGUGAGCCGAGAUCGCCCCACUGCACUCCAGCCUGGGCAACAGAGACUCCAUCUCAAAAAAACAAAAAAAAAAGCACAGGUCCCCUCCCUCAGUCCUGCAGACUUCCUCAAGCUGGGAAGGACCAAGGAUUUUGGGAAAUAACUCCACCGGCUUACAGACAGUGCACCCCAGGACAAAGAGUCAUGGUGUAAAUUUUAAUUAUCCUUUGUAGAGGCUUCAAAAAAAAAAAAAUCUAGAGUGCAGAGGUUCAGUCUGGUCCACACAGUUCUGAAUGCCUUUUAAUUAUCAUCACACACACCAGAGAAGGUCAUCUUAGAAUAUUUAAUCAGUUAGCACUAGAUGAAGGCUGGAGUAGGAGAGACUGGGAUAGUGGGGGGCAAUGUGGGGAUGGAGGCAGGGCGAGGGAGAUAAAGUCAAACUGGUUUUUUUUUUGUUUUUUUUUUUUUUUUUUUUUGGAGACAGAGCCUUACUCUGUCGCCCAGGCUGGAGUGCAAUGGUGUGAUCUCAGCUCACUGCAACCUCUGCCUCCUGGGUUUAAUCGAUUCUCCUGCCUCAGCCUCCCAAGUAGCUGGGAUUACAGGCACCCACCACCAUGCCCAGCUAAUUUAUUUGUAUUUUUUUAGUAGAGACAGGGUUUCACCAUGUUGGCCAGGCUGGUCUCGAACUCCUGACCUCAGGUGAUCCACCCGCCUCGGUCUCCCAAAGUGCUGGGAUUAUAGGGGUGAGCCACCGUGCCCAGCUAAGAUAUUUCAAUCUGUGAAUAACCCAUAUGGCCUGGUAACAGCAAGCACCUGGGAAUAUAUACAUAUAACCCACAUACGGACUGUCCCGUUCACUCCUCACAACCACUCUGCUAACAUACUACCAUCACCCCAUUUUAGAGAUGAGGAAACUGAGGCAGAGGUGCCUUGCCUAAGGUUUACAUAGUUCCAUUUGAGUGCCUACAUGGGAGUGCUUCAUUUGGUCCCCAAAGCUAGCCUGAGACAAGAACUUUCUUCUCCCCCCCCCGCAAGAGACAGGCUCUUCCCAUGUUGCCCAGGCUGCUCUCCAACUCCUGGCCUCAGGCGAUCCUCCCACCUCGGCCUCCUGAAGUGUUGGGAUGACAGCCAUGAGCCACUGUGCCUGCCCAGUUAUUAUUUUAUAAAUGUAGAAACCGAGGCACUGAGAGGUAAAGUAACUUGCACAGGAUCACAAGCCAGCCGAGAAGUGGUAGAGCUUGGAUUUGAACUUACACAAUCUGGGACUCAUACUCUUAAUACACAGUGGUACUGUCAAUACAGGAGACACAGAUCAUCACAGCCACGCACGACCUCCUUGGCUCAAGGGAUUCCUCCCACCUCAGCCUCUCACGUAGCUGGGACUACAGGUAUGCAUAACCUCGCUGGGCUCGUUACUUUGUUUUUUUUUUAGAGGCAGGAUUUCACCAUGUUGCCCAGGGUGGUCUCGUACUCCUGGAUUCAAGCAAUCCUCCUGCUUCGGCCUCCCAAAGUGUCAGGAUUACAGGCGUGAGCCACUGUGCCCAGUCUCAAACAAAAUUAAAAAUUCAGUUUCUCAGUCACACUAGCCACAUUUCAAGUGCUCAGAAACUUUAUGUGGGGCCAGGCAUGGUGGCUCAUGCCUGCAAUCCCAGCACUUUGGGAGGCCGAGGCGGGCGGAUCACGAGGUCAGGAGUUCGAGACCAGCCUAACCAACAUGGUGAAACCCUGUCUCUACUAAAAAAAUACAAAAAUUAGCCGGGCGUGGUGGUGUGCGCCUGUAAUCUCAGCUACUUGGGAGGUUGAGGCGGGAGCAUUGCUUGAACCCGGGAGGCGGAGGAUGUGGUGAGCCGACGUCGUGCCAUUGCACUCCAGCCUGGGCAAUAAGAGCGAAACUCCGUCUCAAAAAAAAAAAACAAAGGUUUAUGUGGCCACUGGCUACUGUACUGGACAGUACAGACCUAGAACAUGAACCAAACAUCACAGAAAGUUCCAGUGGAGAACACUGCUACAUAUCUGCCUGUUUUAGUUAGAAGCCAACAUUUUAUUUUUAUUUUAUUUUAUUUUUUGAGAUGGAGUUUCGCUGCUGUUGCCCAGGCUGGAGUGCAAUGGUGCGAUCUCGGCUCACCACAACCUCCGCCUCCCAGGUUCAAGCAAUUCUCCUGCCUCAGCCUCCUGAGUAGCUGGGAUCACAGGCAUGCUCCACCACGCCCAGCUAAUUUUGUAUUUUUAGUAGAGAUGGGGUUUCU